CAGCAGCCGCGGGAACACGGAGGGUGCAAGCGUUAUCCGGAUUCACUGGGUUUAAAGGGUGCGUAGGCGGGCAGGUAAGUCAGUGGUGAAAUCUUCGAGCUUAACUCGGAAACUGCCGUUGAUACUAUCUGUCUUGAAUAACGUUGAGGUGAGCGGAAUAUGUCAUGUAGCGGUGAAAUGCUUAGAUAUGACAUAGAACACCGAUUGCGAAGGCAGCUCACUAAACGCUCAUUGACGCUGAGGCACGAAAGCGUGGGGAUCAAACAGGAUUAGAUACCCGGGUAGUCUCUGUCUCUUAUAC
rnacentral:rRNA from 1 species